rnacentral:rRNA from 1 species
UGCCAGCCGCCGCGGUAAUACGAAGGGGGCGAGCGUUAUUCGGAAUUACUGGGCGUAAAGAGCGUGUAGGUGGCCUCGUAAGUCAGUUGUUUAAUUUCCCGGCCCAACCGGGAGUCAGCGAUUGAUACUGCAAGGCUUGAGGACAAGAGAGAGAAGUGGAAUUCUCGGAGUAGCGGUAAAAUGCGUAGAUCUCGAGAGGAACACCGAUUGCGAAGGCAGCUUCUUGGCUUGUUCCUGACACUCAAACGCGAAAGCGUGGGGAGCAAACAGGAUUAGAUA